rnacentral:rRNA from 1 species
GAGCAACCUGCCCUAGGCUUUGGGAUAACCCCGGGAAACCGGGGCUAAUACCGAAUAUGACCAUUCUCCGCAUGGUGGGUGGUGGAAAGUUUUUCGGCCUGGGAUGGGCUCGCGGCCUAUCAGCUUGUUGGUGGGGUGAUGGCCUACCAAGGCGACGACGGGUAGCCGGCCUGAGAGGGCGACCGGCCACACUGGGACUGAGACACGGCCCAGACUCCUACGGGAGGCAGCAGUGGGGAAUAUUGCACAAUGGGCGGAAGCCUGAUGCAGCGACGCCGCGUGAGGGAUGACGGCCUUCGGGUUGUAAACCUCUUUCAGCAGGGACGAAGCGUAAGUGACGGUACCUGCAGAAGAAGCGCCGGCCAACUACGUGCCAGCAGCCGCGGUAAGACGUAGGGCGCGAGCGUUGUCCGGAUUUAUUGGGCGUAAAGAGCUCGUAGGCGGCUUGUCGCGUCGACUGUGAAAACCCGCAGCUCAACUGCGGGCUUGCAGCCGAUACGGGCAGGCUAG